ensembl:lincRNA
UCGCUGGGUCCUGGCCGCGGCGUCGCGUCGGACAAAGGGUGACCGUGUGUCGGCCCCGCUGGAGAGUGGGGCGCGUUUUCCGAUCAGCUGGUCGCAGCGUGGGACCUGCCCACCACGCGUGCGUUUGUGGGGGGCUGUAAUUGAGGAAUUGGUGGAGGUGAAGAACUUGGAAGUCUUAGGAAAAAUGUAUUACACAGAUACGCUGUCCCUGCGUUCUCACUGUAACACUGUGCUCGCCAGUGAUUUUAAUCAGGGGGAAAACGAUGAACUUGCUCGUUUUGAUUUUUGCUGCCUCCCUCUCGUUCUUCCUGCACUCACUCCGAGGGAGCAGAGGAAGCUGCAGUCAGGAGUCUCUUCCUAGACUCUCUUGAGCUAUGUUUUCUUCUAUUUUGUGGAUUUGACAGUUGUUUGCAGCAGCUUAACGUCUCCCAACACUUAAGACGAUGUGAGUUUGAAGGCUGGUCAUUUACACUAUGUGGACCCAGCUAGUGGUUACGUGGUGCUCACAAGGCUGGCCCACUUGCAGAGAGGCGCCUGCUGUGGCUCUGCCUGCAGACACUGUCCAUAUGGUCAAGCCAAUGUUAAAGAUCCAUCCAAAAAGAAAUGAUUCAACUCAUACUUCUUUGUUUGACAACAAUUUUUGUCUCUCUACUCUAAUUGAACUUAAAUCUCUAAUUCGGAAUUUCUCUCUUUGUUCUUUGUAUUGGAGCACAAGUUUAAUCUUAAAUAUAUAUGUUAAAAGAACAUCAGUGGCAAAGCUAAUAAAUGUUUGUCCUAAAGUGGCAUAGUGAUAAUCAUUUUCCUUUUUUUGCUUCAUUAUCAGACACGUGUUGAGGAAAAAUAAUGACCAUUUUAUUAAAUCAAAGUAGCAAUUGGCCACAUGAGUAGCUCUUGAUGUUUUUUAUCCUUGGUGCUCCUACUGUGGUCUUAUCAGUGUUAGCAGUCAAGGGAGGUGAGUGCCCAAGAAGUGCCAUCCUCACCAAGGAAUGCUCUCAUGUUCCAUCUGUACUUUUGAUAAAAACUUUGCAUCAUGUUGCCCGGGAGUCUCUGCCACUGAAGAUACCUCAUUGACCAUUUCUCUCCCUCCCUUUCUUUGGACACUUGCCAGGCAAGUCUAUCUUUGACUAUUUCAUUAGCUUUACAACCACAGUGUUCACUGUGAUGAUGCCCCCAUGAAAUAUCAGCCCUCAGGCUGAGUCAGGAGCUCAAAAGGACUGUGUUUUCCACACCUUUCCUGUUUCUCCAUGAAGACAGCAUUCCCCAGGACAUCCUUUCUUAGCCUGUGGACAGUGUCCAGUGAAAUGAGGUUUCCACCUCCUGGGAAAAAUGGCCUUGCUCAGAGUUGACCUUCCACCUUCUGAUGGAAUCGGAAAGAUUCCGGAAGACCUCAGUUGCGUCCAAAAAUUGUUGGCACCCCCCACACACCAGUCCUGCUGCUACCCUAACCAUGGUGCCUUAAACAACUCUUCCCAUGGACCAUAUGAGAUGUGAGCAGCUUUCUUAGGUUCAGAAGAGCCAUGUUUUUGACCUGGCAUUAUCCACACAUUCCUUUGUGGAGAGGAGUAGGAGAAAGUGAUCAGCACUGUGAUUGUGGAGGCAGUGUUAAUCUUUCCAGAAAGGCACGAGGAUACAGGCAGGCCUGUCUCCUUUCCAUCCUUGGGCCAAGAAGAUCCAGUCAUUUCCACUUUUUCCACCAGAUUUGAAGAUUAACAAGGCCAUUUUCUGAGUGGAGGCUGGGUGCUGCUUUCUUCAGCAGUCCCAAAAUGAAGAAGAAAGCCUGAAAAGGUCAUGUUUCUAGAGAAUAAGAAAACCAGCCAUCAUGAGGAAUCCUUACACGGGACACUGGCCAUUCUUGGCAGAACAUCAAACCUUACCGGUGAGAGACCAUAGAAACCACUGGUCAGGGAGUGGGGCAGGAAGGGACAAGGAUGCCCCUACUCUUUCCUGUACCUGGAGCCAGGAGCGGUGGACUGACGUUUACAGUGGUUCUGGAGAUGAAUUGGAACCAAACAUCCAGGACGGUAGCUAGGCAGUGCUCCCACAUUAAACACAAUAUGGCCACAUAAAUAGAUCUUACUGUAAAAGCUUUAAGCUAUAUUGUAUUCACACAUUGUAAAGUAAAAAUACAGGUUUCUUAUAAGGUGUGUGUACACAAACACAUGGAUGCUGCAAAAUAGAGACUUCCCAUUUAAAUCAACUCAUUCUGCUCUACUUUCUGUCUUUCUGGACCAGAAGCAAUGAAUCAGGGGAGGCUGAUUACUAUAUCACUUCUACUAUGGAAUGGUCCAACAGAACCUGGGGUCACCACAGCAGGGGAUGGGGAUGGGUUCCUGCUGCUGUGUGGUUCUUCUAGCUGGGGAAAGGCCCUGCCCUGUGUAGUUCUCCAGCAGGUGGAUCCUGGUGCAUGCUCUUCAGUGAGCAAGGAAAAGAAGAGCUUUUGGUUUUCUAAGUAAAGUUCGUGGCACCCAAAACCCGGGUGUGUUUAGAACUGGGCCAGCCCUGAGAAAAUGAAGUGCCCUGGGGGCUGAAAAAUGUCUUGUUUCCGCACAUCUUCCCUUCCAAAAAUGCUCUCAAAGCUAGUUUCGAACUUACCAUUCAGCCAUCAAAAGAGGAUAAGCCUGAGAUUCAUGUGCACUGCCCCUGGCCAGCCCACAAGGUACCUUGCCACCUUCCUCAACCUCAUCUUCUCCACAUCCCAGCGACAACUUGAGGUUGUGGGCUGACACCUGUCCGGAGAGGUAGAAGAUUAAAACUCAGUGCUAUUUUUUCACUAUCCUGAAACAAGAGGUACUCCCUGGUGCUAAAAAUAUCCUCUCCCUUCAAAAAUAAAGUCAGA